rnacentral:rRNA from 1 species
AAAGGUCGUAACAAGGUCUCCGUUGGUGAACCAGCGGAGGGAUCAUUACCGAGUUAUCCAACUCCCAACCCCUGUGAAUCAUACCUUUAAUUGUUGCUUCGGCGGGACUUCGCGCCCGCCGGGGACCCAAACCUUCUGAAUUUUUUAAUAAGUAUCUUCUGAGUGGUUAAAAAAAAUGAAUCAAAACUUUCAACAACGGAUCUCUUGGUUCUGGCAUCGAUGAAGAACGCAGCGAAAUGCGAUAAGUAAUGUGAAUUGCAGAAUUCAGUGAAUCAUCGAAUCUUUGAACGCACAUUGCGCCCGUCAGUAUUCUGGCGGGCAUGCCUGUUCGAGCGUCAUUACGCCCCUCAAGUCCCCUGUGGACUUGGUGUUGGGGAUCGGCGAGGCUGGUUUUCCAGCACAGCCGUCCCUUAAAUUAAUUGGCGGUCUCGCCGUGGCCCUCCUCUGCGCAGUAGUAAAGCACUCGCAACAGGAGCCCGGCGCGGUCCACUGCCGUAAAACCCCCCAACUUUUUAUAGUUGACCUCGAAUCAGGUAGGACUACCCGCUGAACUUAAGCAUAU